rnacentral:lncRNA from 1 species
AAAAAAAAAAAUAUAUAUAUAUAUAUAUAUAAUAAUAAUAAAUAAUACUAUAAAAAAUUUAAUUUCUAAACGCUUAAAAAUAUAUGUAUAUAUCCUAUAUUUUAAGUGCUUAAAAAUAUUUUUAUUAGAGAAUAAAUUAUUGCCUACACUUUGACUGUAUUCUUAUAUCCUCACUUCAUGCCUUUGUCAAUUUCCAAUUAUCCAUAAAAUUAUAAUCUUUUUUUUCCUAUAUAUAUAUAUAUAUAUAUAAAUGUAUAUAAAUUUUCUUAUCCAGAGCAAUAACUUUAUGUGAUGCAUUUAUUAAGGCUUCGUUUUAGAUUACGGGGAGAAAGUAUAUUGAAAAAAUAUCAUGUUUAUUUCCGUACGUAAUAUUAUGUUCCGCAUAUACGAUAUAUUUUCUACAGUCCCACCGGAGAACGCAAAAGCAUAUCCCUAUAUGCUUUUUCUUCAACUCCAUUUUAUUCAACGCUUUAAUAGCGUUAGAUAAAACUCAAUACCAAAUUAAGCCUAAGUAGGAAAGAAGCAGAAGCUAUUCUCAGCAAGAACUGCUUGAUCAUAAAGCAGGUUUACCAAAAAGUCAAAAGUCAACAGCUUAUCAAUUACCAGUUAAUUUACAAAAUUAGUGGGGUGUUCAGAUUCCACCAUACACAACACUAGAUUAUGACAAAGCAUGCAAGGAAAUAGGAUUAGAGAAGGAUGCAACAAAAAAAGUUCAUACACCACAAAAUUAUCAAAGUUUUACGGAACACGCAUCGAUCUUUUCAUAUUAUUCAACUCACAUUCAUCCUUUGUUCCUACCAUCUCAUUCCGAAGAAAAGAAAGGGCAUCUAAAAGUAGAAAUUACAACCCAGAUUGUUGUUAUCAUUAUUCUGCAUCAACAUAGAAACAAGAGGACACCAAACUUAGCCCUUUUGGUGACCAUGGCAACUUCAUCAUACCAAGUUGAAGAAAACAAUGGUGUCCUUUGCCAAUAUCACGAGGAGCAUCGCGAAGUAAAUCAGAACCCAGUUGCGGGUCACUUCGUGGUGGACGUAGUCGAGGAAAAUCUCCUUGAAGCACCCAUGAAUUUGCCAGUAGACCGAGAAGACUAGCAGAGAAGUGAGCACGUCCGUCCUCGACACGAGAAGCAGCGCGGGAAUGAGAGCGUAGGUGAUUUUCUGAGAGAGCUCGUAUCGCCUUACCUUGAGGCUUUCAAAACUCAACCCGCUUUCUCGUGCUUUGACGACGGCGCCUUCCAAUGGACUAAAAGCCAUGACUUUUGGGGAGCCUCCGUCCUUUUUAUUAGGCAGGCGAUCAGAUUCUCCGGCCACAGCUGGUUUAAUCACCGUCUGCAAAAGAUGUAAAUAAAACAUCAAACAGACAAGAUCAGCAGGGAUAUGAUUUUAUUAUUUUUCUUUUCUUACAUUUGUAUACUACUCGUAACAUGCAUUUUACGUGUCAUACCCCUCAAAAGUAUCUAUUUGCAUAGAUGCCCUUUAAAACAUAGCGGCUUGCUUGUGUGUUGUUCACAAAAAGUAGUAUGCUUAACUAAGGCGAAAUCCUAGUUAUUGGUGCUACAGGCUAUUCCAGCAUUUACCAAAUUUUUAGAGGGUAUAUGCGCAAAAAGUUAGGCGCAUAAUGGUCAUCUUGCUAUUCGACACUUUUGUAGUGGAAAGUUAAGCGGAAAGGCAUUUGUGCAAAAAGGUUAAUCCUAAGGAUAGAGGAACGAAUAUUGACAUUAGUCAAGUACAUCUGUAAUUGUGAAAAAAAUGCUAAAACAAUUUUCUUUAACAAAAAGACUUACAGAAAGAAUAUAUAAAGUCUAACACAAAGUUUACUAAUAUACUUGCUUUUGAGGCUAAUUUCUAACCUGUGAGUCAAUGUUCUCCUUUAGAUUCAUCACUGCCCCACUCUGUGCUUUCACACUAAAAUUACGAGGUAAAACUCGUGCACUGUCGUAUGAUGAAGUAAAUGAGUAAAAUGGAGAUGUCAGCUUGUUCUCCAAAAUCUGCAAAACAAGUUAUUGUAAGGAUAUAUUCAAAGCUCAAAAAGCAAUGCGAGUAAAAUUUGCAGGAUGAGCUGUUGCAACCUUCAACAAGUUUAACAUGACUAUUAUUAGUGCAGUUGUGCAGUUUGGAAUUUCAUUAGUUAGAUUACUAUGAAAAAGAAUAUGAAGGAAACAAAAAUCUUUACAAAGAAAUACCUAUCACUAUGUUGAUUUUACGCAUAUCAAAACAUGUCCGGAGAAAACAAAAAAAAAAGUUUUAGAUACUCGAACCUUAUCUACUUUAUUUUUCUAUUCUGCUAAAUUGUGCUGAUUUCUCCUCAUUGUUUCUCUUUAAAUAAUGCUGGGACAGAAUGGAAUUAAAAAUAGACGCUUUCACAUUUGAAGUAAAGAGGGACAAUUCUCGGGUGCAAUACGAAGAAAAACUAGGGAUAUAAAACAUACAAAAUCAUGGAUGUCUCAAAGAUAAGAGCAUCAAAAUAAAUGAGAAGAGUAGAGAACAAUAUAGGUAAAGGAAAGAAAAGACGUGAUAAAACAGGCGAAGGAAGACAAAAGGAAAUGGGUUAAAGAAAACAUCCUCUUGUAGUGACUAAUUUGAGAAGGAGAAAGAAAGGAAAAGAGGCAUAAAAGAUAUAGUUCUGAAACACAGAAGAGAGAUGGUAUUAUAUGCAAAGAAAGGCUUCAUUGUUGUGUUCGCGUAUGUUGGAGAUUCUUCUUUCACCUUUUCUUUUGGAGAGUGGAGACAAUCUAACUAUGUUCAUUCAUUCGUCAAAAACACUCGAAGACACUGACGGCGUUAAUGAUAAAUAACAUUAUCACCCAAGUAGUUGGGUUCAAAAGCAAAUAACAAAAGCUCAUUUCCAUAUGCGCCCCUCAUAGUUUCCUUGUAGAAAACAGAAACUGCUAAGGAAACACACUAAGUUAAAGAAAAAAAAUAAACCUAAAACAAGUCUGCGGGUUAAACUUAAGCAUCUAGAUGUAUCAAAUUCAGGUCUUGGUUUUCAUAGCAGAAUAAAUAUCAAUUAUAAAUGUGGAACAUGGACUGAAGUACACACCCAAAAUAAAGUAUGAGAGAUAAGAAACACGACUUGGCACAGAAUUUAUGAUCCAUUUCACGCUCGCUGUAGGAUCUUGCGAUGUCAACAGGACAGUCAAUAAUUAACAAUUCUAGUUCUCCAAAUUAUAUGAACUUCAGGUAAAGAAACAAUUCGACGGCAAUUAGUAAUAAGCUUAAGACAGGAACUGUACAAUAUCUUAGCCUAACAAAUGCCGUUGGAGCAUCACUCAGUGUCGGUCUUAAACCCUUUGAACUAAUUCCGACCUAAAUUAAACUGAUAAGAAAAUUUUUAAAAAGAAACUUUUGUAAUCUAAGACCACUAAACUCUAUUAAGUGAAACAUUUGCUACCCUAAUUGAGUCGAAGAAAUAGAUGUGAUCUACAUUCUGUAAUGCUCGGCAAGUUACCAUAACCCUUAGAUUCUCCAAAUUCUCCAAUAAUAGAGGAAAUGCAUCAGAUUAAUGAGGAAAUGUCUAUCCCAAAAAAGGAAAAAAAAAAAAAAACAACAACUUUAGCUUUCCUGACCAUUUAAAUAGUUUAUAAAAAAAAAAAAAUUACUCAGCACUUCUUUGUAACCCGAUCUUCAGAAUCGAUUGCUAAAAUUGUCGAGAAAAGCACACGAUCUCUGUCCAUAAUCAUCCUCAUCCAUGAAUAAAGGUGCAAAUCCCCCAAAAGCGAGAUAAAAUCCUACUGAUUACACUCCAGCACCGCGGGUUCCAUCAAAAUUUCAUCCUAUUGCCUCGAGAUAAAAGUGCUAAUCAUCCUCAUUUGGAUCAAAACCAAGUUUAGAGAGAGAGAGAGAGAGAGAGAGAGUGAGAGAGAGUGAUGCGCACCUUUGGGGGGCGAAAGAGAGGGUUCCGAGAGGAAUCGAGCGUAGGGGAAGGGGACGGCGGAGCGGAUCCUCCGGCGGCUGCGGCAGCGGCGGCGGCGGAGGAGGAGGAGUGGGAUCGGAGGAGAGGGGAGGAGAGGCGGAGGGGAUCGAUCGGGGCCGAAGUGGAGGAGAAGAGGGAGGAGGAGGAGGAGGAGGAGGAGGAAGCGGNGAGGAUGCGGGUUAGGGUUUUGGAUCGGGUCGUCAGGAGACGGGACGCCAUGAUCGUCGUCGUCGUCGUCGUCCUCCGAUCGAGCGAAAGAGAGGGUUUCUACUUUCUACUCCUGUGAAAGAAAUGAGAAAGAUGAGAGAGAGAUACGAGAAAAAGAGGAGACGUGGUCACGUGACUCGCGAGUGUGCGUGGGGCCCACAGGGCGGGUUUUGUCACUUUGCGUACCACCCCCUAUACUUUCAAUUUUUUUUAUUUUAGUAUCUUAUAAUUUAUCAAAUAUUCAUAUUAGCGCUCUAUAAUUUUUCAAAUUUUGACUUUAGUAUUUUAUAAUUUAUCAAAUUUUUAUUUUAAUAUUCUGUUGUUUAAUAUUGUCACUAAUUUAACAACAAAAAUGAUGAAAGAAAACACAAAACCAAAAGUGGUAUUUGGAAAUUUGUUCUUAUUUUUAUUUCACCAUUCAUUGGCUGACACGUAGACUCCAAAUACUAGUGGGACCCGCAACUUCGGGAGAAAUUAAAUUAUCGAGGUUUAGACUCUUUCCUAGUUAUGGUAGGAAGAUAUUAAUUAUAUUACGAACGUAGAAAAGAAAUUAAUAAAAACAAACAAAAAAAUGGUCCUUGAUAAAUUGGCGGGCUUUUUUUGCAAAUAGCCCCCUGACAAAUUUUAUUUACAAAAAUAGCUCCGUCCAAAAAUUUUUUGCAAAAAUAACCCUACCCCUACCACGCCAGCGCCACGCGGGCAGAACGGGCCCAGGUAUUUAAGUUCAACACGAUGAACCAUUCACCGUGUUCAACACAAGAUUUUUGUAUUGGACACGGUGAAUGGUUCACUGUGUCCAAUACAAAUAUCCCAACAAUGGCUAAGUUGGAAAUAUUUGUAUUAAACAUGGUGAACCAUUCACAGUGUCCAAUUAUUUGUAUUGGACACGGUGAAUGGUUUACCGUGUCCAAUACAAAUAUUUCGAUCUUAGCUAUUUUGUAUUGGACACGGUGAAUCAUUCAUUCACCGUGUCCAAUACAAAAACUUUGUAUUAAAUACGGUGAAUGAUUUACCGUGUUCAACUUAACCAUCUGACACAACUCCGCCCGCGUGGCGCUUGCGUGGCGGGAUCAGAACCAUUUUUGCAAAUAAAUUUUUAACAGGACCAAUUAAAAAAAAAAAAAAUUGUAAGGAGGCUAUUUGCAAAAAAAGCCCUAAAUUGGCCUACUUUUCCCUAUUAUGAGAAAAAAGAGUUGGUACAAUUUAAGUGUACCAAAAUGAAAAUUAAAACUACUGCACAAAACAUAGUUAGGAAUAAAAUACAUAGAGAUAUUCUUUCCCAUUCUCAAAUAAUAAAAUUACGAUAAUUAUAUUUUGACCUACUCAUAACAAUAUGCACAAAAUGAUAUUAUUUUACAAAGAUACUAUUUUUCCAACGUACUUUCUCACGGCACAAGAUCCACUUUUAAUGAUAGCAGAUCAAACACAAUUCAGUAAAAAGUAAUGAGAUUUAAUAGAUCCAUCAAUUAAUAUAAAACAAGUAGCCCCCUUAUGACAAACAAUUUAAAACAAUUUAAAACCAUCAGAGCAUAGAAACAUACCACAAUUUAAAACCAUAAACAAAACAAAACAAGCAGAAGAUGCAGUUUGGAUAAGCUGCUUGUUUCUUAACACACAAUGCGGCAAUCAGUUCACUGUUUCCUACACAUGCGGCAAAUAAUCGACUAAAUCGAAUAUGCUCGAAUAACAUUACCUUACAAAAGUUCCUUCUAAGCCUCACCACCAUCUGCUGCCUAUGCUUAUACAAAAAUCAAUUAGGGGAGAGAGUGUCGAAGGGCACCUCGAGCGCUUCCUCGGAGACAUUAUACAACAAGUUUGAUUCUUACGAAGAACCGGAGAAACAUCACAAAGCUGGCCAAAUUUGAACCUCGAGUUAUUCCUGUUAUUUUGUCGGCCAGAGCAGAUCCAGGAGCAUUGUUGUUGGUGGAAGCGAUCGAAUUCUUAGGUCGAUGGAGAUUAUCAGAUGAGGAAUAAGAGGAUGAAGGCUCGAUUUAUGCUUGAAUAGCUUAGAUUCAGGAAAAAGGAUAUCGGCGAGGGGUUCACAUCCAUUUAUUCCUCCGGAACAACUUAGGGUUAGGUUUUUACUGAAACUAGUUUACAGGGGAAAAUGGUACAACAGGGCAGGAUGGCAGAUGAUUGAAAAUGUAGGAACAACAAUGGGAAGAAAAUUUAUAUGGGAAAUGGGAUUUGGGUUUUGCCGCAUUGAAUUGAAUUGGGUCAAGAGAGGUUAAGGUUCGGAUUCUGGAGCUACGGAAAGAUGGAGGGACUCCGAGAUAUCCUGGAUUUCGUUAGAGAAAGCAAAAUUAGGGGGAAGGGUCAUUAGGGCUCUGUCUCCGCUCUUCCCAAGCCACGCCAUUGCCAAGGCAUAUCCCAGUGCUCGGCCUACCGGAAUAGCCACGGCAUUUCCAACUUGGCGAUACCUGCGAAUUUAGCACGGUAAUUUAGAAUUAUAGUCAAUCAAAGAUUACCACGAGAAUUGUAUAUGGAGACAUGUAAAUAUGUUAUUGAAUAAUUUGAAUACAGACGAUAGCUUAAAAGUCAGACCACUACGUUAUCUUAUAAAACCAAAAGUCCAUGGAGUUUCACUCGGUACAGCCAUCAGUUUUGCAUUGUCUAAAAAAGAUCGACAACCAGAAAGAAAAAGCAAAAUAUAUCCCCCAAAAUACCAGGAAUCUAAUGUCAAAGAUACACAUAUUAAACAUAAUGAUUUGGGGAAAAUACAAGCUUCAUUAGAGGCCAAGAACCUAAAAUAAGAAAUCAGUUACUGGUGAAAAUGUAUGGCUAAGUGAUUUAGGAAAAGAGGCCUCGAGGUCGAAGAGGCAUGUACGUAGACAAGCAUGAAAGGAGUGAAGAGCCUAUCUGGAGCAGAAACACAAUAAUCGAGGUCAAAGUUUGGUAAUACCUGCAUGUUCUUUUAUAGUGGGAAUGUUGCAUGAACGCAAUCGCAUGUCACAAGAGUGGAAAUUUUGAACAAAAUAGGACAACAUGACUCUACCACACCUAGUUAAAAACUGAAGGAAACCCAAAAUCAACGUGAAAGUACACUAAGUUAUAAAUGACAUGACAUAAUUAAAAGCAAGAAAAUUUUUUGAAAGCUUGAGUUAAAUUACAGACAAUAAUAGACAAUCUCCAAAUUGAAAUGGCUGACACAAAUUGUCAGGAACGAACAUGAACCGUGAACCAAGUUGCCACACCUGCAGGCUACGAUCCAACUUAAACAUUACAAGAAUCAUUCUUUCCUAUUUAAUAAAAAUCAACCUCAAACCUACAUACAGAAUCAAGAAUUAUCAGCGUCAAAUUCUCUAAUAAUAGUCACUUCACAAAAUCCCAUUGAUAAAACAGAACACUUUAUAUCCUCCACAAAUCGAAGAUGUGUUUUAAGUGAACAAAUAGAAUAAGUGGCAAUUAAAGAAAAAUCACAAGAUGUAUUUGAAACAUGAAAAACCCAGGCACCUGUCUUUAAUGGACCCGUGGAAUCUAUAAUAGUCAGGAAAACCUUGCAAUCUUGCAUUUUCUCGAAUGGUGAGUAUCCGGUCUUGCUCGGGAUGUAGUAUGGCCUAAAGAAAUUUUAAGAGAUGAAUUUGAUUUUUAUUAUGUAAAUGGUUAUAUGAAAAGAUAAAUCCCAAAGUUGAGGAAUAUAACUAACUUGCAUACGAGGGUUUGAUAUCGUCAGCACAGUUGCCACUACCUCAUCCCACCAAAGUCGUGCAUAAGGUCUAUAACAUUCUGUGUGUUACCAUAAUGGAUCACCAGAACUAUAUUGCAAAAGCAGAUAAAAAGAUCCAACUAACCUUAUAGACUUUCCAUUCUCAUAGCGCAAGGCACAAUCUGGAAUCUGAGAAGAAAGCAGAUAAUGAGAUCAUCAUUAAAAUGAUUGAAGUAAGCACAAGGAUUUACAUUUGCAUUGAACUGGCCAAUCAAACUGAUCAGACCAUGAACCGGUGCAUAGAACCGUCUAGGUUAACUCAUAAAACUAGAGAGUUCAAAAAACCGCAUCAAAUUAUUCGAGCUGGCAGUUCAAGUGGAGAACUGGUGAACCAUGCAGAUCGAAGCAACCAACUUUCUUCAUGCUCACUCUUCAAUCAGAGGUCAAGAAACAUUAGACCCUUUAUUCGGUCUAAGAAUGGUUCUCCAGUAUUUCCUUGUUCACGAACAAGUAGGACUUACUUGUUGAUGAUUUUAUAGGAUAUAUAUCGUGUUAAAAUUCAAAAGAACUCAUUUAUAUUUUAUUACUUCAUGUUGGCAUCACUUAUUCCAUCAAUUGUCAAACCAGUGAACCUUGAACUGGUAUCGUCCCAAAAGUCACUCUCUUGGAUCUUAUCCCAUCUAAUCCAAUCCCAGGUGCCAAAUGGAUAGAAAAUGUACAUCGAUAUUAUUUUGGGAAAGAAAAGAAAGAAUAUUAACCAAUUAAAAGAUGUAAGCUACAAUACGUAGACCUUUAUUGUAAAUAUUUUCCGAAGGUCUGAGCUUCAAUACAUAAUCUUCCGAAUAUGGUUUGCAAAAACUUCAAAGCCAAAUAAAAAGAUAAAAAAUAAAUAUAAGCUGUUUAUUUUAUAUGUACCACAAGCGAAAUAAACUGAAGUUGAGACCCAUGUAACAAAUAAGAGCACUGCCACUAAAGGAAGAAACAAAUUAUGCUCUCAACCUAUAUAAUAUAGUUUUCUGUAUUGCAUUGAAUUUUAUAAGUUUCUUUAAGGCCUAGGAUUUCUCUAUAAAAUACAAAAAACUAGGAGCUCAUUAUUUAGUAUUUUCCCUGUGAAACUGGCGUGCAAUUGCGUCGUUAGUUUAUAUUUGAAAGCAACCUAUAUCAAAUAGGAUUAACUACUUAAAAAGUCCCCAACUGAUGGUAAAAUUUUAUUUUUGUCGCUCAAUUUCUAAUCAAAUGAUCCUAUAGAAGAAAACAAGAAAAAGCAAGGCAAUGAUAAUACUAUGAAUAAGCAAAUUAUAGCAAGCACUUUAAGAUCAAACUACAACACUUACCAAGCAAUAAAAAAGAGAUCUUGUGAAGCUUGGAACAAAAACAUGUCUCCCCAGUGUCCUCUCAAAAAAAAAAAAAAAAAAAGGAGAAAAAAGAUCUUACCAGUGGCCUCCCUGAUGGUAAUAAUACUCGUUCCAUUGCAGGAUCUAACUGCACGGUGUUGUCAGGACCAACUACGAGACCGCGGAGGUCUCUAAAAUUAGCUCCCUGGAUAAGCAUAUGAAUUUAAGAAAACUGGCUGGACAUCAAACUGGAAAUUGGAGUAUAGAGGUAAUUCAAAGCAACCUUUCUUUUAGGAACUUGGCAAACUCGCAAGUAGUCAUUCUCGCCAAGCUGUAAAGGGCGAUGGUCGUACAGCAAAGAUUGAGAACCUUUUAGUCCACUGGCUGCUCAAAGAAUCAUCUCUUGAAUAUGAGUGGAAUAAGAAGUUACAAGUAAGACUAUCUUUAAAAAAAAAUGCAACAUGGAAAGAGAAACCAUAAUCAUUGAAUUUUACAGUUAUUUACUAAAUAAGCUUUUGCAUUAGUAAUAAACAUGGACAUCAAGACUAUAUGCACAAAACUAGAAUGCAAUCAAGUCAAAACAAAUCAAAGAGUCGCAAAAUCAAAUCUGAAAUUUCCAUUUUAGAUAUAACGAACCAGUCUUAGGUUCCCGGAUGUAUCUUUGAAACUCUGUUUGAGGUUCCUUUUGAUAUGGCAUCUGCUCACGAUCUUCCUUGUCUGUUACCUAAAAGGAAAGUACGAAGAUUUUGUUUAGUGCGACAGGAUAAAGCUGGAAAUGGCCUAGCAAACUUGAAUUUGAUAACUUACUGCUGGAAGAUCAGAAAGAAUAUCUUCUAGAACAAGUGCUUUUUCUAACUGCCUGGGUUUGCCCUCAUCAUACCCAACUAGGUUUCGCUAUGAGAAUGGUAAAGUCAUGAUAUUAGUUUAAAAAUGUAACAUCUCAUGCACCAAAAAGUAAAACAAAAGUUGAAGUUUGGCCUCCAUUUCAUCCUCGUAGUUUUAAUUACCACAAUUUAGUCCCUGAAGUUAGUUUUGCAUGAGAUUCAAGUCCAAUUAGGUUUCUGUUUGAAGAAGCCAACAAUUAAUCAAUAAAAUCAGACUCUGCUUAGUUACAAAGAAAGCAAUUUUGACAAAAUAUUGAAAUUGGAUCAAAGUUCAGGGACCAAAUUGUUAAAAUUGAAACCAAGAAAAUUCAAAUGGGAGUUGAACAUUACAAUUGAAACUUCGAAGAAGAAAUCAAAAUUCAGAUCAAACUUCGGGGACCUACUAAGUAAUUAUAAUCUAUAAGCAAAAAUGAAGGAAAAAAUGUGUCCAACAAGAACUAGCAGCAUUAGAAAAUGAUAUGGAAAAUGAUAAACGGACAGGUGGCAUGCAUAUGGUCUUCCAAAGGACUAAUAUGUAGUAGCCUAUUGUACAAUACCUACCAAAACCUUUUCUUUUCUACAUCAAUCAAAUUCUGAAGAAAAUGAGAGAUAUUGAAUAGAGAUGUACCUCAAAUUCUAAUGGAGAACCAUACUUUUCAAUUACUUCAUGUGUAGGAAGCGGAAAUUGGGGUAGUUUCUGAAAGAGAAAAUAUGAUAUAAAAGGUCAAGCAUGCAUGGAGUGAAAAGUUGUAAAACAACUGAUUUAGUCUAAAUGCUCAAGCUGUUAGAGAAUGACUUUUCAAAACUUCUCAGUCAUAACACUCCCUCAUGUAUGGGCUCAAGGCUUUUCAUAUGCCCAAGACAAAGACUUUGAAAUUUGAGUGAAUGGGAGCAGAUAGUAUAGUGAAUGAGCCUGGUGGGAUUAAAACUAAGACAGCUUGUUCUGAUACUGCAUGAAAAAACCCACUUAUCUAAAAGCUUAAGGAUGUGUUCAUCUUGAUGUAGGUGGAAAUAAGGUCAAGGCGAAGUUCGAUAAGGUUUGUCAUUUUUACAUGGCUGUUUGCUUGCCUGGAAGACACCUAGGGGAAAUAAUGUACAAAGUCUAGCAUUAAGCACACACAUUUUAUCAAUCAUCAUAGCUAGAAGUUUCCUGAAAUUUGAACCAAGAUCAAUGGAAAUCAUUGCAGGGAAAAAGUGAGAAACUCAGUGAAGGUUAAAUUUCUCUAUUCUUAACAAUUUAGUAAACCAAACAAUGAAAAUGAGCACCAAAACUGUAUCUUGACUACUAUGCCUCCACUUGUAUCAAAACAAACACACUCUUAAGUUGUUAAAUGAUGGUGUUUUAUAGCUUAUAUUUAAUUAUAGUCACAUAUAAGGGACACUGUUACUUGCCUCGUUAGGCUGACACCCCCACAAAAAUACACGCAAGCGAAAUUGUGGGAGGCCAUAACAACCAGCAGCCAUGAUUCCUAGCCUUGCUUGGUAACGCAUACUAACCAGACGGCCUAAAGCAUAUCUAGCAACUGUGGCCUUGGCAAAUUUUAAAAUAUCAAGAACAUUUUCCAUCAAAACAUAUUUUGGCUUCAAAAAUUGCACAAUGUCCAUGAAGACAAUGACUUGGCGGUUUUUUUCAUCAUCCAGUGGUGCCUCAAAAUUCCUAUAGCGAUUAUAUCCGCUGAUACCUUGGCAUGGUGGGCCCCCACAAAUGACAUCGACAUCACCCUAGAAUAAUUAAACUCAGUAAGGCAAAAUAAAAUUUGAAUUAAUCAAAUGGCAAAAGAAAACAAAUAUUUUGGUGCCCAUUUGGCCUGGCUAACAGAACUUGCCUGAAAUUAGUUUCCGCUCCCCAAAAACAGUAAGUUACAAAAUUUGUCAGGUGAUACACCUUAAUGAAAAUGCUACUUGUGCUUCUCAGAGUAGCUCUAUUAAAACAGCAUUUAAGCUUCAGCCAUGCCAAACAGGUCCUUAGUUACAAGAUGAUUCAUCCUUUGCAAGAUGCUAAAUUGACUAGAAGAAAGCACAGAAAUCAAGGUGGCCACUUACAGGGAGUGGCAAAAUCUUAGACUUGAAUCCUUCAAUUACAAAAUCCCGUAUUGCUUCUUCACAGUUGCUGGAAAAAGAAAAUGUCAGUAAGAAAGAUUGUCACAUCUUCACAUGAAAGCUUUAGAAAACCUGACCUGCAUACCUUAGUCCUUCAAUAGGCUCCCAUGUGUCUUCAUUAUAACUGUAGCCCUUCCAACGAACCUAGACAAAGUAAGUGAAGAUAAUGUAGUUUACUAAGAAAAAAUCCAAUGAAACACAUUAACCCCACUUAACUCUAUUAUAAAAGAAAAGGAAAAAGAAAGUUUAAAAAUAGAAAAUACAUGCAAGUCCAGCCAUCUGAGUGAUAACCUUUCAUUAGAUUCAUCUAUACAAUAAUUUGAAGUUUUUGGUCAGUUACUAGUGUUACAACAUUCCCUAAGAAGUAGCUUAACAAGAUUAAUAAAUAAAUGAUCAAGUAUGAGCAGAGUAAACAGUCAACUAUCAAGAAAAGGACUAUUUUCCUCUUCACAUAACCACCGGAAGCCAUAAUGUUAACUACUAUAAACAAAUGGCUCAAAAGUCAAAACACAUCUUGCAACUACUUGUCAAAUUUUGUUACGUGGCCAAAUGUUCUCUAUGAAAGCAGAUUUAGAGUUCAAAAUUGGUGCUCCCGAACUUGGAUAUAUUAAACUAACAUAAAAGGAAUCUCACACCGACAUGUAGAAUAAGAAAUCUAGAAAUGAUGCAGACUAGUGAGGCAAAUAUGAAUGGUAAUAGGACGGAAUUAAUUUAGGAUCCAUUCUUGCAACAUGUAAUUUCAUUAAUAGAACUUAAAACUGAAAACAUUAUCAUGCCCCCUUAAAUAGGCUAAACUAUCAUAGACACUCUUACUAGUAAAAUUCCUUCCUUGAACAAAUAGUUACAGGACAACCAUUUUACCCCUCCCUCCUCUUCAUCUUCACAUCUCCGUUGAUGAACUGGGUCGGGGUUCGUUUUUUUGGGAGCGGAUUGUUGUAGCCUCAUCCAUUUCACUUGUCUCCUCGUCCCUCUACAUCUUCUUCUUCUCCUUCAUCUUCCCUUCUUCUCCCUUUAAUACUUUAUGCAAUGAGAAUGAGAAAGAGAAAGAGAAAGAGAAAUAGAUAGUCCACAACCAAUGUAUCUCUUCUUUUCAUCUUCUCCGUUGGUGCAGAGAGAGUAAGAGAUAGACAAAAGGACGGAAUGGCAUCUAGGCAGUCUCCCUUGUUCACCAAAUUGGGAAAGGAGGGGGAUCAAAGGAUGGAAAGGCAUUUGCAAGAGAGAAAGUAGGGAGAAAGGAUUUCAAUUCAUCAAUCUAUACUCAACUCAUAGUAGAAUUUAGAUCAACCUUAAACGUGUGCUAAGAGGACGACUGUCAACUGGAUUUGCUAAUAAGGACAAUAAGAUAAACUCUUUGCAUAGAUUAUAUUUCAAACUUCACAGGGUAAUUCUAAAUAAAUGAAAUUUCCCUUAGUUUCGUAUCCAGAAUACAUGAAAAUGGCAUAAUACUAGCAGUGGCAAAGGUUAAAGCAGAUAAACAGAUUUCACCAUAAAAGCAAUGAUAAGACACAUACCUUAAAUUUUAAACCACGCUUUCCAACGUUAGUGGGAUCACCAUAACAGAUAUCAACUAGCUUUGAUACCACAAAUUCUUCAUCAGAUUCCGAAGAUGAAGAAUCAUCUCCGUUGUCCUUUCUAGGAGCCCUUACAUUUGAAUUUGAGCUCUUUGCUUUACCAUGCCUUACAUACUUUUCACAGAGCUUCUCCCAUGCCUUCAAUAGAUCAAGAAAAUCAACAGCAGUCUCGUUCCUGACCUAUUACAAUACAAUGUCAUCACAGACUAAAAAUGAACAUUAGUUUCAUGUUCAAUUUAAAAUGGAUACCCUAGCUUUAUUUUUUUCCUUUUUUGGUUGACACCCUCUGUACUUUUUGUUGUUUUGAUAGGAGUUGUUUCCAUCAAUUAAAUUGGGGAUCUCAUCACAGCCGUACUUCCUUUCAGUUGACAUAACAAGAGAUUUUGUUAAUAAUUGACGUUGGUAGUUAAUGGAGCCAUUAGUUGCGAGUGAUGGAAAUAACCAAACCAAAAAAAGCAAAAAAAUUGAGGGGUCUGAUUUUAAAAAAUAAUCUAGGGGUUCGAACUACCGUGAACUCAGACCAGGAACAGCAUACCAGAGUCUCUGGAUGAUUUAGUUUCAAGCUUUUGCAUGCAGCUUCUUCAGAAUCAACAGCCCAUCUCUAUGGAGCAGUGGUAAAAAUCAUCCAAGAGAACAGUAAGUACGAUGAGAUACUGCAUGAUAAAAUCAAUAAUAAAUGGAAGGUAAAUACCGCCACAAGAUUCACACCAGCAGUGCAUGCUCCCAGAGAGAGACCAGUGGACAUCCCACCACACCCACAAAAAAGAUCUAAUAAAGUUAGCUCCAUGUCUUUUGAUGCCUGAUUCUCAUGCUUUUUAUUAGGGAAUGGCUUUCUUGUUAUGCCAUUGAUACUAUUUGUACUAGACAAACUGGAUAAGGCCGUAUGACCAUUUUCUUCUGAAUCAUCUGAAAUUGAAGGCAAAAUUAUGAAACUUCCUAGAAAUAUUAAUCAGAUAAGUAAAUGGUACAGAAAACACCCCCCCAAAAAAAAUGCAGAGGUGUAUGCCAUCCAUAUGCUACUAUGCAUGAAUGCUCUGCGGGUAUAUAUUUACAGGACGUGACUUAGAAUAGCAAUGUCAUAGUGAUGACAAAUAGGUAGUCAUUGCUUCUAAAAAUCAAGAAAUCAAAGCAGGCCAAUUUUAAAUGUUGUUACAAAACAUACUAGAUACCUCAAGAGCCAAGGCAUCAAUUUCAUCAUUUUGAGACAACUUACACAUUGUCAUAGUACUGAAUGUACUAUACUCUACAGAGUACUUCAUGUCAUAGUAAAAAUAGUAUGAAGGAAUUGAUUUGGACUUCAAGUCAACCUGCAAAAGAAUAUGACUUGAUUGUGUUUAUGACCUUGUAAAAACUCUACCGACCAAUUAAAACGAAAAAUGACUGAGAAGUAUUGGCUUGAAACAGCAUACAGUAGGAGAAACUUGUACAACAUUGGCUUUGGAAACAAUGCAAUCUAGUAGAUUGUCAUUUUUUAGGUCCGAGUAGAAAAGCCGCUUCUUGUCAUGGGACGUCGCUUGCUCUUUAAUGACCUGAGAAGACAGAUUUAGGACAUGAUAUAAACCAUAAUGUUUAACUAAGAUUGACUCUUAUCUAAAUGCUGGAUGCAAAAAUAUAAAGAAUGAAUGCAACUCUGGGCAGCAAUCGACCUUGCAAGCCCUGCUUACGUAGAUCAAAUUAGACCAAAAUUAUCAAUUUGCAUCUUAAAAGUCUAAAAUGCACUCUCAAAUCAAAGAUAUUUGACUCUCACGAAUGGUUAAAAAUAAAUUGCAUAUUCUAAUGUAACAAAGCCAGAAAAAUCCGCUAGUAGGACCCAAAUAACCUAGCGAUCUUGAACCAUAUUCAAUAUGGUUCACACCCAUUGUCAUCUUAACUUUGUUGUUAACUAACGGACCCCGCAUCAAAUAGAACAUGACAGUUUCCUACAGUCAAAGAUCAAAAAUUACAAAACUCACAGUAUCUUCGGCUCUGAAAAACCAUUGAACUGUACAAUAAUAGAUUCCUCCUGUUGUUUCAAAAAACUCCAAGAUCCUGCCUAUAUAAUCUGGUUUACCCUUUGGACCCUGUCAAGAUAUUAACAGAAUGUCACUUCACAGUGCCACCAUUAGUAAACCCAAUUAUCGCUACAUAAUUCAGGACAAGAUGAUGCUCAUCCCGAUUCAAGCAUAGGGUAAGUGAAAAAUGGAAACUUGCUGUUAUUAUUUUUCAAAUUAAUUGUAAAGAAACUUCAUUUGCUAAUAAGUAAUGUAAAAUCAAUAUGUGAAUAAUACCAUGAUAACAACCAAAAACAGCCCUAGGACAAAGAAUCUGCCAAUUCUUUGCUUCCAUCUUGCAUUAAACUUUUACUGUCAAUCUUGCAGAGUAGGAGUUAGCCAUGAGACAAAUUUCUGCUCCAGAUAAUACAAAGUUAAUUUUGGCGAUGAGAAGUAUUAAACUGUGUUCUUAAACUGGUCUAUGUAUAAAGUAAUCUUUGUCCAGAUGUAGUACUAGGUGGUAUUAUUUCCAAACUCAUUAAAUUGCAGAAGUUAGUAAGAAAACACAUCGAAAUCAAUAAAAACAUUGCAAAAGAAGAAAGAACUUUCAUGAUCUGCAUUUCACUCACUUUCACAUAUGCACAAUCCCCAAUGCUCAAAAUACACCCACAUACACUUGCUUGCAAGAAAUGAAAUUUUACAUCUAAAAUAAUAUCAUCGGCAUCAUCAUCACUGCAAUAUACAAAAUCAUGGUUGAAAAGGUUGAUAUUAGUAAGUUAAUUGGGUAAUAGAAUUCAACUCCCUGAACAAAACACAUAUGCAUGAUCCACUUACUUAGCAGCUCUUCGAUUAUUGCUCCCUUUACCCUUCAAAAGAAAAACAAGGGUAUCAAAUGCAAAACAACCAGAAUAUCACCAUAAAGCUGCAGAUUUCCUUACAAAAUAUUGUUCAUAUAGAUAUGCAGCAUAUGCUAAUCAGCUUUCUUCAGAGAAUCAAAGCUAAUAAGCAUUCACAAGCAUAAUGUUCUUGUCAGGUGUGAGAAUUUGAAUGAGACAGACCAGGUACGUGAAAAUUAUUAGAAGGGAGGGCAAGAACAUUCAUAUUUGGCAUCCAUACUAUCAAGUUGUUAAGAGCCUCUUUGGCCCAAAUUGAAGUCUUUGCAAAAGAGCCGAUUGAUUAGAGUUUUUCCUUAGUAUCCUCCAAAUAACUACCAACAAUACCAAAAUUAAAAGCUUCUGAUUCAAGCUUCUGCUUCUAGAGCCUAGAGCUCUUUUUAGCUUCCAACCACAGCAAAAGCCCCAGGCCUUUCGUCUUUGACAGAUACCUGAUUGCUUCUUCUGGGAAUAGAAUAGUUGUUCUAGAACGUAGGCCUAACAAGCAGGAGUUACAAACACUAAUACGCUGGUCCUCAAAUAGGGUGGUGUAAUUAAUAAAACAUGGAACACCGAAUAGUCGUAUGCUAGAUGUCAUUUGGUUUUGGGAGCGUGAUAAGGUGUCCUAGAGACGAAGUGUGAAAAAAGUUGCAGUUAAUUUAGUUUAGCAUCAACAAUUCAGGUAAUAUUAUGUGCCAUCUGAUUUGAGGGAUGAGUCUAUUUCAUUCGGCACAGCAAAGUUCGUGCAUGGCAAACUUCAAUUUACUGUGAAAAAAUCAAUACAAAGGCCUAUCUAGACUGCAGAGAAAACUAUCUUCUGUCUUUCUUCUAGAAGCUGCUCCUUCCUCCACAUAUACUGGUGUAAAGGAAGGAAAAUGUUGUAGCAGUAAACAAGAAUGAACAAUGUGGCCCAUAAAGAAUGAACCAAUACAAGUCCCAAAUCCGAAAAAGAACUAAGAACCACUUAACAGAAAAGAUAUAAUCUUUGCAGCUUCUCAGCCCAAUGAAGUAACGUCAAAAUAGGAGAACUCCUAAAGACUGCAAAAUGCAACCAAGGAAAAGACAAAGGAAGCAGCUUGAGAGAACUAAAACAAGAUCCAAAUUUGGCUUUUCUUUUCCCUUCCAUACCUAAAUUAAGUAAAGAAAAAUUUCCCAUUUACCACAGGAUGGAGAACGUUAGAGAGUUGGGCGCUACCUUGUUCACAUAGUGGUGAGGCCACCUCCUCCUCGCUUCCUCAUCCGACACCGGAUCCCCUACAAAGAAGCAAUCGCCAUUAGCAUCCUUCAGCUCUGAAGAACCCACCGGAGCUGCUGCUGUCCCCAAUCCCACUCUCAGCUUUUUCGGAGGCGGCAAAGCCAGCGACUUCGAUGGCGCCGUUUGAUUGCCAUUGCUUCUCGUCGUAAUGGAGCAGGGAGAACUCUCUGCAGUAGAGAACCUCGGCGAUCGCCUCAAGGACCCGUUUUCGCCCAAGCUCGGAGCUUGUGCUCCGCUCUUGAGAAACCUAGGGCCAUUAAUGUGGACCAAUAUAGCCUCAUUGUCCAUGGACGGAUUCAAAGGGCUUCUCGAAGGGGACAUGGAGCAGGGCACCAGGGGCUUGAGGAUUGCAAGGGUUCUUGGGGAUAGCCGCAAAGAGCCAUUCCCUGGUGAGGUUAGAGCCAAUACUCCGUCCUUGAGAAACCUAGGCGAUCUCUGGUGGGAAUUGGCUUGGACUAUAGCCCCAUUGUCCUUGGACGAAUUUUGAGAGGGGCGGGGGAGUGUUCUCCGCGAUCUCCUCGAGAAGCUAUUUCCAGCCGACGGAGCCGAUGCUUCGGCAUUGAGAAACCUCGGCGACCUCCGGAGGGAGCCAUUGCUUUGGACCAAAUCUCCAUUGUUCUCGGACGGAUCUGUCGAGGAUCGGCGUCGAGCCUUCGGUGAGGGAAGAGCGGAGAGGGGACCGGAACUUCUAGAGGCGGAAUUGGGGCCAUUUCCCGCCGAUCUCGGAGCCGACGCUCCGUUCUCGAGAAGCCUAGGGGACCUCCGGAGGACGCCAUUGUUGCCGACCGGAUCCCCUUCGCUCUUAGAGGAAUCCCCAUCGAAGGGGUCGAGGAUCGCUAGGGUUCUCGGGGAUCUCCGCGAUCCCCUCGAGGAGCCACUCUGCGGCGAGCUCGGAGCUCGCGCUCCGCUCCGGGAAAACCUAGGCGACCUCCGGAGGGCGCCAUUGGGGUCGAUCGGCUCCGCAUUGCUCCGAGGGGGUCGGCGACGCUCCGCCGCGGCCGGAGACGGGGGAUCGCCGCUUCUGCGGGAGGAGGAGGAGGAGGAGGAAUCGGAGUAGGGUUCGAAGGGCUCGACGGGUUCGAGGAUCGCGAGGGGGAUGGGGGAGGGGAGAUCCUCCGCGUCCAUGGCGUCGAUGGGGGAGAGCCGAUCAAACCCAAACCCUAGCUAGGGUUUAGAGGAGGAGAGGAAGAGGAAGGGGAAAGGGCGAUAAAAAACACGAUGGAGCGUUGGGCGGGAGAGAGAUAGAUCAUUUUACUGGAGAGUUAAUAAUGGAAAGAAAAAAAUAAAGAAAAAUAAUAAAAGGACGGUGAAAAUGCAUGGAGACCCCUCAUCUAUUUUACUCAUCGAAAACACCCCUCAACUAUUUAUUUCUCUUUUUCUUUGGUAAAAGUGUAGGGAAAGCCCUCACAUAUAUGGUAUUUUGAUAAGCACUCCUCGACUUUCUUUUUUUGAUUGAGUGUUUGAAUGUAAUCAAAUUCAUCAGCUAUUUCGCCAAAAUUAAAUGGCUAUAUAUAUUUGUUAACACAUAAAAUAGGCCAAUUAAUGGUUUAUAAUUAAUAAUUAAUUAACAGAAUCAUUAAAUUUAAUAAAAUUUUAACUUCAUUAAGUAUAUAAAAAUUUUAAAAUAAAUAAUGACGUACCAGAGAUUGGUAAAUAUUUUACGUUUUUAUUUCACUUUAUGUUUAAUGUAAUUAACUUUGUCCUAGGAUCAGCUGAAAUUAAUUAUAGUAAUUUGGAGGGUUUGAGUUUCGAUCAAAGGUAAAGUUACGAUGAACUAAAUAACGAAAGAUUAUAUUUACGGCCAAAAAUUAUUUUAUCCCUCAUCACUUUUGGUGAAACAAACACAUUUUAAAACAUAUAUCACCGCACCUUGAUACGAAGGAUUUAGAGAUUAUAAAAAUUUGGAUAAACUUCAAAUAUCAUCAUGCGAUUUCGCACUUUCUCACUUUAGUAUCCUAUGGUUUAAAAUUAUCAAUUUAGUACCCUAUAAUUUUAUUUUUCUCUUUUUAUCAGCUUCUUCGUUAACAUUUUGUCAAAUUAUAAACUUUAAAUACCUCAUUUAGGUUUAUCGAAUAUUCACUUUAGUAUUUUUUAGUUUUAACUUUGUCACUUAUUUAACGAAAAAAAUUAAUAAAAGGGAUAAUAAAAAAAGGAAAAUAAAAUUAUAGGGUAUUAAAUCGAUACACUUUAAAUUAUAGAUACCAAAGUGAGAAAGUACAAAACCACAAAUGUGGUAUUUUAAAUUUUUUCUAAAAAUUUAAAAACCGCGUCAAUAAUUUCCAUCUUAGGUGCUACAAAAAUAGUAAUAAAAAUCACACUCAUUCCUCUUUUACCAACCAAAAGAGAGGGGUAAAAAAAAAAAAAAGAAAGGAAAACUUUGAUUUACCUUCCCAAGGCAAAUCAAAUUCAAAAUUUAGGAGGGAAAUGGUGAAUUUAUUCAAAUUUAAUGCACAGCCCCUCGUGAAUUGCAUUAAUUACAAUUUUGAAUUGUGGGGGUGCACCUGCACCAAAAGGAGCCCGCGGUGAGGAAAAUUUAUUUCAUGGACGCGGUCCACCACGUCAUCUGUAGACCGCAUUCUCCACCUCCUUCGAAUCCAUAUCGUCCAAUAAGUUUUUUUUUUUUUCCUAUUUUAUAAAUUGGUUAUUCAUAAUUUGCACGGUCCACUAUAACGUGGUGCACUUGGUUCAGCGAAUAAUGUCGUGGCCACCAUUUGAAUAAUUGAUCGCUUUGAUUGUUGAACUAAUUUUUUGCGUGUACCAGGUGUGUCCUAGGCCUCGUGCGCCGCGUUGACUUUUAAUGGUCAAUAUAUUUUAAAAUUAAAAAUUAUUUCAUAAAUUAGAUAUAAAACACUAAAAUAUUGUUCAUAAAUAAACUAAAUUAAGUAGUGUCAAAAAAAUAAUAGUACAACAAAAAAUCGGCGUAGAAAUUAAUUUUUUGUAUAUAGAUCUUAUGAAUAUUAUAACUAUCAUAUAAUGAUCUGCAGUAAAAAAAGUUAAAUUAUAAAUAUAUUUUCGUAUAUUUUAUCCUAUAUCUUAAUCCUCCUCUUUCAUUAAUUUUGCUUAAAUUUGAUGCUUGCAUUUCACCGCUAAUUUAAAUAAAUAAGAAUAUUUAAAAUUAUCAUUGAUUUUUCGAACGCAGAAUUUUACGGAAAUAAUUUCAAAUAUUCUUGAACUUUAUAAUUGAUACUGUAUCUUAAUUACCCUAUAUAUAUAUAUAUAUAUAUAUAUGUAUAAACUUAAGUAAAAGAGAUUUUUUCAUAAUCAAAGCAAUCGACUAUUUAUCAAACAUUUUAUUUAAUUUAUAUUAUUUUAUUUAGUUAUCUCAUUUUUGUUAAAAUUUACAUCAACUUUAGUAAUCUUUAAAAAACUGAAGACAUAUUUAAAAUAAAUAAAAGACAAAGUGCAGAAUCUAAUUUAAUUCAAAAUUUUACAAAUGAGUAAAAUUCAAGAGGAGAUUUUGUAAUUGAGCCCUCAAAAGGAACAAAGUUUUUCCUUGAUUUUUAAAAACAUAUAAUUUACCUCUUUAAAAUUUUAAAUUAAUGCAUUCAGUUCCACUCCGUUAGGGUUCUGUCACAACUCCGUCUAUUUUUCUAUAAUUUACAUCAAAAAUAUUAUUAAAAGUGACAUAAAUAUAAUAAAAAAUAUUUUUAUAAAACAAAUAAGGGUAAUUUUGUCGCUUCGUCCUUUCCAUCAACGCGAUAUUUUUAAAAAAAUAUUUUUAAAAUGUUAAGAGUAUAAAAUAUAGUUUUCAAAAGUAAAAAAAUAAAAGUACAAAAAAGGAGUAUUUACAGAGUAUUUUUUCUGUAUUUUUAACCUUUCUUUUUAGAGUAAACUUUAAAAGCCACUCCUGUAGUUUUGCACUUUCUCACUUUAGUACCAUGUGGUUUAAAGUGUAUCAAGUUAUUGUUCUGUGAUUUUAUUUUUUUCUUUUCAUCAGCUUAUCUGUUAAUAUUUCGUUAAAUUAUAUACAAAAAAUUUCAAAUACCCCAUAUAGGUUUAUCAAAUAUUCACUUUAGUACCAUUUAGUUUUAACUUUAUCACUGAUUUAAUAAAAAAAUUAGUAAAAUAGAUAAUAAAAAAAUAAAAAUAAAACCACAGAACAAUAAAUUAAUAUACUUUAAAUUAUAUGGUACUAAAGUGAAAAAGUGUGAAACUAUAGGGGUGAAAUGUGAAGUUUUCCCUUCUUUGUAUUAUCAUGCUAUGUUUAGUGGUGUACGAGAUAUAAUUGUACACCCGGUGCAGGCGAUAGUUUCUGAGCGAUGCGGUGCACGUGCACGAAGACCCAACACGUGGAUGUGACCGUUGGCGUGAGGCGCGGGGUGAUGUGCUCCGAUUCACGUGAGAAAUACAAAAGCUGAUGAUGAUGAUGAUGAUCCGUCGCUUUUCGCCCGUUGCUGGAAAAUUUGAAUUUGAAUCCGUGAUUCCCCUUUUUUUUUAAUUUAAAAAUAAAUAAAUAAUUAAUUAUUGAGCUUGGAUUGUUUGUUUAGAAUUAUAAUGUGCCUGAAUGGCAGAAAAUCAAUAUAUAUAUAUUUUUUUACUUUUCAUGUCAUAUAAAAAUCUACACUUUAUCUCUUUAAAAAAUAAAAAUCUUCAUUUCGAUCUUCGCAGUCAGUGUUCCAUUUAUAGCGUAUUUCUUAUACCGAAAAUACUCAUAAAACCCUUAUUUUUCUCCUUAAGACCUCAUCGAUAUUUUCAGCUGCGCCGCCUCGCCCUUGCGCACUCCUCUGUCCGUGCCUAGACACACGCCCUCCCCCUCCUCCAUCGCCUCACCCCCAAUCGCCCUUGCCCACCUCUCCGCCUAUACCCACUACAAUCCCCUCCCUACAGUCGCCGAAAUAGAGGGGCGGCAAGGGUGCUGGAGAAGUAGGGAAGCAGGUGGAGAAAACAGAGUCGGAGCUGGGGUCGAGAGAGGUGCGGGCAAGGGUGCGGGAUGAGCAAGACUCGGGAGAAGACGAAGAAAAUGCGGAUAAUUUGAUCAUUUUAUCAACCGUACCCUCUGUGAAUAUUUUUUAUUUUUUAAGAGGUAAAGUGUAAGUUUGAAAAAUAAAGAGAAAAAGUGAAAAAACGUGUAUUGAUAGAGAGGUUUUCUACAAUUUAGCCUUCAAAUUUAUGAAUUUUAGAAAUUUGAUAUCAUCUUACACUCUAUUAAAAAUUAAAAGAUCGAUCUACGUAUAAUUGUGCGUCAAGUGUUUGGACAAUCACGCGAUCAAUUUUGUUGCCUAUAACUUUCCCGAAGUUUUGAUUUCAACCUUCGAGCUGUACAAAAUUUGUUGAAUAAUGCGAAACUAUUGUUUAUUAAAUUUGAAUGAGUGAUCUUCGUAUAGUUGUCAGCGGGAGUUCAGGUGAUCUCGCGAUUUCGAUGCCGAAACUCACGCCGACGCCUACAACUUUCUCAAAGUUUUGAUUUCAACUUUCGAGAUCUAAAAAAAUUAUUAAAUAAUGCAAAACAACUGUUUAUUCCGAAAAGCUUGAGCCGGUAGAGAAUAAUAUUUUCAUAUUUUUAUAUUUAACACUCUCCUUCACGUCUGGACACGUUGAAACUUUCUGCUCUGAUACCAUAUUAAAUAAUACGAAACAACCGUUUAUCUUUAAAAGUUUAAGUUCGUAGAGAAUAGUGUUUUAUUAUAGUUUUUAUAUUUAACAAAAAUAAACAUGUCCUAACCUGACAUACUAUUAGAAGAGAACUAAAGAGCUUACUUCUGUGUUAUCUUUAAUGAUAGAAUGUGAAAAUCGACGAUCGACAUCACUAAACAUGAUUUGAAAAUUUUAGACUUUUUAAUUUCAUAGUUAUUUGACAUUAUUUGUCCGCCACUAGGUCGACUCAAAAAUUGACUUUAAUAGCUAAUUCGUAAAAUUAGAUUGCUAUGAAGUGCAAACAGCUUAUGUCGUAUUUAACAUUGUCAGUCGAUGAUUCAAAUACCCUAUUAUUUUAAAUAUUGUGGAAGUAACUCUCUUGCUUGCUUCUAGUAGAUAUAUUUUUACGAAAUUCAAGUCACCGUUGCUCGUAGUGUCCGUUAUAAAAAAAUAUAAUUAAUCAUAAAUAAAAUAUUCAAUCUUAAUUACGUGUAAAGUAAAUUGACACUUUUAUCUCUUUUAUAUUAUUAUCUAAUUAACUACUUGAUUCAACUAUUCGAUAAAGUUAAGAGGAUCUUGUAAUCAAAAUUAAAACCUAUAUAAGGGGUAAUGAACAAAAAAUUUUGGGGGUGUUGAUGCAUUUAUCCCAAUGAGGCAGAGGGUGCUAAUUUCAGAAUUAUAUAUAGUUGAGGGGUCUCCCUACAUUUUUACCCGACUCUUUCCCGCUCCUAUAAAACUGUACCCGCGCUCGUUCUCGACACUUCUCCUGAGAGGGGAAAAAAAAAAAAAAAAAAAAAAAAAAAUAAGGGUUCGCACGACCGAGAUCGAAAUAAAGGUCGAAUUCGCAUCUCUCUCUCUAUUUUUAUGAAUUUUUUAAUUAAAUCCAUCGAUUAAUCUCANCAAAAAAUUUUGGGGGUGUUGAUGCAUUUAUCCCAAUGAGGCAGAGGGUGCUAAUUUCAGAAUUAUAUAUAGUUGAGGGGUCUCCCUACAUUUUUACCGGAUGUUAUCAUCCACAUGCGCUAUUUUAGUGGUCGAGGUUCGAAUCUCUGCUUCUGCACUAUAAAAAAAAAAAAAAGAAAAAAAAAAAAAGAAGGGUUCGCACGACCGAGAUCGAAAUAAAGGUCGAAUUCGCAUCUCUCUCUCUAUUUUUAUGAAUUUUUUAAUUAAAUCCAUCGAUUAAUCUCAUUUUCCCGCAUAGAUUGAUCCCCUUUUGUGCUUGUAAAUGCGAAUUUUUUCCCUACUUUUUUUUUGGUUUUACUGCUGUUGCUCUAGGGUUUUUUCAAGUAUAAUUUUCGUUAUUUUAUGAUUUAAGAUGAUCGUAUUUUCCCCUUUUUAGGUUAAAAUUUGCUUUUAUUUAGUGUUCUUAGAUCUUAUUAUGAGUUUAAAUUGCUAUGUUGUUGGAUCGAUGUGCUCAGGGGUAUGUUGACAUAGUAAUUAGGGGUCGUUUCGUUAGAUGUAAUUACAAAUACAGUAUAGUUGGAGAUGUAUGCAGUUGGAAAUGCAGCAAUUGCAAUUACGUGCAUUCUAUUUGGUUGAAUGUAGUAGAAAGAGUUGCAACUAUAAAUAAUUUGUUUGGUUGCAUGCGGUUGAGAAAUGAAUUUAAAAAGUUUAUCAUUAUAUAAAUAUGUGAUUGUGAGAUUACCACCAAUGUAAAAAAGAAAAAUAUUUUAUUACUAUUUUAAUUUAUUACUCUUUUAAAAUCAAUGUAGUAGAAAGCGUUGCAAAAUAUUUUAUUACUCUUUUAAAAUGGACAUUGAAUAUCCCAAACUCUAAUAAGUCAUUCGUACUUUCCCCUUCCUUCAAUUCUUGUUGACGGGAUUUGACGGAAGGAAACGGUGGUGUUUAGGGGUAACUGUGCAAUUUAUCCAUUAUAUUGUCACAAUAUCUUGAUGGCUAAAAUGCACUUUAACCCCUUUAAUCUAUUAUGUGUUACACUUAAUCCCUUGGAUAAAAUAAAUUAUGCUACCCACUUCGGUCAUUUUUUUUUUAGAAAUGAACUUAGCUGGAAAUGUGAAGCAAUUAGGUUUUGAACUAUGAAUCUCGGGUACAAAUCAUCAAGUUCUUUGCCACCUGCACUGAUGGUCGGUAGCACUUACUCUCGUUUCACGUGUUUUUUUUAAUGUUGUAAUUUGAUAAAAUAUUUUUGAUCUUUUUGAGGGGAAUUAAGUGCGUACUUUUAUUUUAUUUAGAGGGGUAGUAAAGUCAGGGGCGAAGCCAAGAAUUAAGGUUUGGGGGGGCCAAGAUUUAGAUUUUGACAGAAAAAAAUUCGACCUCGAAUAGUAAAAAGAAGAGUUUGUCAGAUUCACUGAUCACCUAUUGCUAGCAAUAGUAGCGACAAUAUACUCAAGAAGGAACAAGACUGUAAGAGUUGAAGGGAAAGAACCAAGGGGUUCAAAAAAAAAAAAAAAUGGGACACAAGUUUUAUUAAAAAAAAUAAUUUGGCCCCCUAAAAUAUUUUAAUUUUUACUAUAAAGGACUUUUAUGUAAUUUUUAAAAGUUCAGGGGGGGCCAUGGCCACUGUGGGCCCCUGAAUGACUCCGUCCCUAGGUAAAGUGCAACAUGCGAUAUAUUGAGAGGGGUUAUCUGCAUUUUAGCCUAUCUUGAUUAUGCUUUUAGUAUAUUUUUCAAAUGCGCAACAAAUAAUUUUUAGAUAGUACGUAUGCUGUAGGAAGGAAUGCUUUAAAUAUUUAAGUCAAAAUGUAUGGAACCUUACCUGAAGCAUGACUGCAUUAUGUGUCGGCUACUUGAACUUUAAGAGUUUUAAUUUUACUAUCUAAUCUUAUAACUUGUUUGAUUUUGUACAUCCCGAUCAGAAUUUAACGGUAUUUUCGACUUCUUGGAUAGAAGAAGGGUUGUUUGGUCAUACUGUUGUUGUGUAUCUGCUUGUAUGGCUGGGCAAUUAUUUUGAUUUUUUUGAGGGCGGGGAUCGGAUCUAUUUUGUAAAUCUAUUCUCCAAUUGCUGACGUAAAAUGUUUCGGUUCUGUGUACUCCCUUUUUAUGUGCUUGUCCUGUUAUCUUGUUAAUUCACUGAACUAUAUUUGCGUGAAAUCUACUGAACCCAGGUUUCGAGGCAAUUUUACGACGCAAGCCUUUCUUUCCUCUUUCAGUUCUGUCAGUUUAUGCCCUUUUUCCUGCAACUCAUCUUUUCCAGCAUUCAUGUUUGCAGUCAAACAUGGGGGCCAAGUUCAUCAUUGGAUCUGUUGCUGCAUCCUUCGCGAUCGCCUAUCUGUGUGACAAAUUGAUUGCUGAUUUGAAGAUAUUUGGAGGUCGGUUAGAUUCUAUAUAUAGAAACAUCGUGAGAUGACUAAUGCAUUUGUGUCGUUAACUCAGAAGGCUUAGAAAUUGUUGUUUCUUGAAACCUAGGCACGACUCCGAAAACUGUCGCGGAUAAGGAGUGGUGGGAGGCCACGGACAACAAGUUCCAGGCCUGGCCGCGCACUGGGGGCCCGCCGGUCGUCAUGAACCCCAUCAGGCGUCAGAAUUUCAUCAUCAAGUCUGCCGACUCCUUAAAAUGGUAGAAUUUUGUUCUGAUGCAGCUUCGCUUCGCUAUGAAGAUUGUUCAGGCAAUAUAACAUACGAAUUUGGUUAUUAGUUUUGCUUCUUUGAUGUGUUAUACCAUCCACUUUUGUUAAACAGUUUACACAAUGGAUCUCCUCUCUCUCUUUCUCUCUCUCUCUCUCUCUCUCUCUCUCUCUCUAUAUAUAUAUAUAUAUAUAUAUGGGUACUAUUUUGCGACAUGCUCCCUCAACUUUUCACUUGAACAUUUAGUCCGUGAACUUUCUCAUAUAUUGCAAUUUACAUCCGUGACCGCACAAAAAAAAAAAAAAUCUAAUUUUUUCGCUGUAGAAUGACCACUUCACUCCCGUACGGCGAGUGCUUUGUUAUUUGAAAAUCUCAUUUUUAUAGGAAAAGGAUAGCGGCUCGGGAUGGAACUGCAAUACAUGUGAAAGUUCAUGGACUAAAUUGUGUAGCUGAAAAGUUUACAAGCGAAGUCGCAACAGUAGGAUAAUGGAGGGGCUCCAUACAUUUUACCCAAGGAUUUAAGUGCCUAUCGGUACGGUCUGUAUUCACCGUAUUGUACCGUGCUAACGAGAUAUUGAAACGAUACAGUUUUCGUGCCAAUGGCACAAUUCAGAACCCUUUAUUUUUUUAAAUUAGUAAGUAAUUUUCUUAAUAAAGAUUAAAAGAUUUGAUAAAGAUAUAUAAUAAACAGUUCGAAUGUUUUGUUGCUAAAGAAAAUAAAUGUAUCAUGCUAUUUUUUGUGACCGGCACGCAUCGGCAAGGUCCGACACGCACCGUGCCAGCAGGUUUCCGACACGAUCGCGUGGCGCGACACUUAAAUCCUUGAUUUUACACUGAACUCUAUAAACCCGUCGUGCGUGUGUUGAUCAUACUUUACCUUCAGUCAUAUAUACGUAUGAGAUGAUAACCGAUUGAUUCAAGGGGGAUGGUAUUAGCAAUAUGUAAAAAAUGUCUACUUAGUUGGUUAACCAAGAACAGUUUGGGAACCAAAUGAAUCUCUCUUGUCAAUUUGGGGACUAACUCUUUUUUUUUUUUUUUCCUUUUUCAAUCUUUUGUUGAUUUGAUCAGCUGAGAUGGGGAUCUUUCAGAGGCCAUCUUUCAUUCUCUAUCCGAUGUACAUUCGAAGGUACUUUGCUGCUUCCCCUUUCAUGCAUGGUUUGUAAGUGUAGUAGUAAGAUAAUGUUUUAGGUAUUACUGCAUGCUUACUAGUAAAUGAUUAUGUGUGUGUUUAAUUAGUUUCCGGUUAUCAAGGUUUAUGGGACACAUUCACAUGUAAAUAUUUUGUUCCUAAUAUCUCAUUAGGUUUCAUUAGGUGACAAUGUAUGUACCUUAUGUGAGUAAUCUUCAAAAAAUGUUUAAAUUGUGAGUACUAGUCCCUGAACUUUUGAGUCGAAUUUUACUUUGGUCCUCUUUAACUCUUGAUUUCCACAUUCGAGACCCUGAACUUUAAAUAAGGUUUUUCGACUUUGCUCUCUGAAUUUUUGAUAAUAUCUCAUUUCGUCCUCACCUUAAAGUAAAAAAUUAAUGUCUAUUUAACCUGGUACUAUGUUCAAUUUAAGUUAUCUAAUAAGCAAUUCUUUUAACCUAAUGUUAUUUGAUAAAAUAUUGUAUAAUUCAUUUGACAGAAACUACUCUAACAAAACUUAAGAAAGGUGUUUGAUGUGACUCGAAAUUGAUAAUCGACUUUAGUUCGGGAUUUCGACUCGCCGAUAGUUUCGCGGUGCGUCCGAAUUGGAAAAUAAAAUUGUGAAGGAAAAAUGGUUAAGUUUUCUUUUUCGUUUUUGGCCUAGAGGCGACAGAUCGAAAUUGGUUGUACUAUCUGAACAUUGUAUUCCCUUUUUCGUUCGAUAGUGAAGUUCUCUUCUUCCUCGUCCGCAGUUUUUUCCUGCAAAGAAUUUUUCACGUAAAUCUGUAUAUUCUUUUAUUUCUGUUUAUGAUUUGUUUAUUUUGUGUUCGUCAUUUCGUUUCCGUUUGUGCGUUUAUCGUAAGAAAAUGCUUGUAAGGCAUCUACUAAAAUAGAAAGAUUAGGUGUUAUAGUUAAAAUUUUUUAAGCAUUAGUAGAGAUUUUAGUCACUGUAUUGUGUGUCUUUGCUUCCUGAAUGCCACCUAUGAGCACCUAUGAUGGAACUAGAAAAUAGCUUUUGUGAAAAGCACAUGUUGAGCAUCUCCCCCAUGCAGGCAAAGUUUUGAUUCCCAAAUUUAGCAUGUUGUCAUAUUUUAUUAGUGAGGAGGGGAUGUGAUUCUGAGAGCUUUUUUGGUCACCUUUUUUCUUAGUUUUUUUGCUAAGGAGAUGCUAUGCACGAUUAGUUAUUUGCGUGCUUCUUUGCCGAGCUUCUGAAAUAGCUCAUCUAAGUUAUGGUUAGUGGUGAAAAGCGGAAAUAAGCUCCUAAAUUAUACGAGAAAUUUUUUUUAAAAAAGGAUUAGGUUAGGUUUGAUUGAGUAGUUCUACUAAAAUUGUUUUAAAAUGAUUAGGUACUCUUUUGGUGACCAAUUGAUUGUUCAGAGUGAAUUGGAUUGUGGAUUAGUUUGACCUUUGAAAUAGUUUUUUUUGAAUAAAAAAUAAAAUUUAAAUAUUUAUCGAAUGCAAAUGUUUAGAUCGUUCGGUGCUUCUAUCGUAGAGUUUUAGGAUUUGUUUGGCCAGAUUGAAGUUUAUGGAGAAGUUUUGCUGUUUGACUGGUGGAGCUGUUUAAACAAACACUCCUGAUUGAAAAAAAAAAAGAAAAGAAAAAAAAAGAGAAAAAUGGUAGUCGGGAGUUUUUCAACGAUGUCUCGUUAGGGAGUUCCGAUCCAUCGUCACACUUCACCUUUAUCUCUAUCCGAGGGUUAUUAUUAUUAUUAUUAUUAUUAGUAUUAAAAGCAUGCAACGAACCAUUGAAUUGAGGUGAAAUUAAAUACGUGACGGUAAAUCGGGGUUUCUUUAGGGAGACGUCAUUAGGACACGCUCCACGGAAGUUUUAUACCUCUCUACUUAAACUGCUCCUUGUUGUAGCUGUAGUGGAAUCUUUAGAUUGUUGCUACUAUGUUUUUUAUUUUUUAUUUUAUUUUUUUUUGAGGAGAAAGUUUAUUUCAGUUUAUUAUUUUUUUAUUUUGAACGCUAUCUGCUUCAUUUAUUUCAUUUAGAAAUAAACUUAGCUGGAAAUGUGAUACUUAAAUUUUAUUUUUUAUUCAAAAAAAACUAUUUCAAAAGAUACUUUGGUCUACAAUUUUCUGGAUAUUUUUUUUUAAGAGCUGUUUAUUUAGAAAUUUUGGAGAAAAAAGACAAAAUAUGUACCUAAAUAAAA